GACGAACGCUGGCGGCGUGCUUAACACAUGCAAGUCGAACGCGCCUGUCCUCUGGGUUUCUGGGGGGUGGGUGAGUGGCGAACGGGUGAGUAACACGUGAGUAACCUGCCCCCUUCUUCGGGAUAACGGUCUGAAAGGGCUGCUAAUACCGGGUAUUCACUGGUCUCCGCAUGGGGUCUGGUGGAAAGGUUUUUUUCUGGUGGGGGAUGGGCUCGCGGCCUAUCAGCUUGUUGGUGGGGUGAUGGCCCACCAAGGCCUUGACGGGUAGCCGGCCUGAGAGGGUGACCGGUCACAUUGGGACUGAGAUACGGCCCAGACUCCUACGGGAGGCAGCAGUGGGGAAUAUUGCACAAUGGGCGCAAGCCUGAUGCAGCGACGCCGCGUGAGGGAUGGAGGCCUUCGGGUUGUGAACCUCUUUCGCCCGUGGUCAAGCCGCGACGUGGGUCGUGGUGAGGGUAGUGGGUAAAGAAGCGCCGGCUAACUACGUG
rnacentral:rRNA from 1 species